rnacentral:rRNA from 1 species
GAAACUUAAAUGAAUUGACGGGGCCCGGCACAAGCGGUGGAGUAUGUGGUUUAAUUCGACGCAACGCGCAGAACUUACCUGGUCUUGACAUCCCGGGAAUUUCCUUGAAAGAGGAAGUGCCUCGCAAGAGGAGCCUGGAGACAGGUGCUGCAUGGCUGUCGUCAGCUCGUGUCGUGAGAUGUUGGGUUAAGUCCCGCAACGAGCGCAACCCUUGUCUUUAGUUGCCAUCAUUCAGUUGGGCACUCUAAAGAGACUGCCGGUGUCAAACCGGAGGAAGGUGGGGAUGACGUCAAGUCCUCAUGGCCUUUAUGACCAGGGCUACACACGUACUACAAUGGCCGGUACAAAGGGCAGCCACUUAGCGAUAAGGAGCCAAUCCCGUAAAGCCGGUCUCAGUCCGGAUUGGAGUCUGCAACUCGACUCCAUGAAGUUGGAAUCGCUAGUAAUCGCGGAUCAGCACGCCGCGGUGAAUACGUUCCCGGGCCUU